rnacentral:rRNA from 1 species
UGAUGACGAGACGCUAAGGCGUUGAAGCAGUGUAUGUCAGACUUCCAAGAAAAGCUCGCAAUGUCAUAAAUAAAGAAUGCCUGUACCAUAACCGACACAGGUGGGUAGGUAGAGUAUACUAAGGGGCGCGAGAUAACUCUCUCUAAGGAACUCGGCAAGAUGACUCCGUAACUUCGGGAGAAGGAGUGCCUUAUUUAUAAGGUUGCAAUAACAAGAUCCAAGCAACUGUUUAUCAAAAACACAGGUCUCCGCUAAGUCGUAAGACGAUGUAUGGGGGCUGACGCCUGCCCAGUGCCAGAAGGUUAAAGAAGUUGGUUAGUGUAUGCGAAGCUGAUGACUGAAGCCCUGGUGAACGGCGGCCGUAACAAUAACGGUCCUAAGGUAGCGAAAUUCCUUGUCGGGUAAGUUCCGACCCGCACGAAAGGCGUAAUGAUUUGGAUACUGUCUCGGAGAGAGGCUCGGUGAAAUAGACUUGUCUGUGAAGAUGCGGACUACCUGCACCAGGACAGAAAGGCCCUAUGAAGCUUUACUGUAACUUGAAAUUGGAAUUGGACUUUGCUUGCGCAGUAUAGGUGGGAAGCGUUGAAGAUAUUCUUGCGGGAGUAUUGGAGCUAUCAGUGAGAUACCACUCUUGUAAUGUUAGAUUUCUAACUUUGAACCAUAAUCUGGUCAAAGAACAGUUUCAGGUGGGCAGUUUGACUGGGGCGGUCGCCUCCCAAAUGGUAACGGAGGCGUACAAAGGUUUCCUCUGAACGGAUAGAAAUCGUAUCUAGAGUGUAAAGGCAUAAGGAAGCUUGACUGUGAGACCUACAAGUCGAGCAGGGACGAAAGUCGGUCUUAGUGAUCUGACGGUACUGAGUGGAAAGGCCGUCACUCAACGGAUAAAGUUACUCUAAGGAUAACAGGCUGAUCUCCCCCAAGAGUUCACAUCGACGGGGAGGUUUGGCACCUCGAUGUCGGCUCAUCGCAUCCUGGGGCGGUAGUACGUCCCAAGGGUUGGGCUGUUCGCCCAUGAAAGCGGUACGCGAGCCGGGUUCAGAACGUCGUGAGACAGUUCGGUCCAUAUCCGGUGUAGGCGCUAGAAUAUUGAGAGGAGCCUUCUUUAGUACGAGAGGACCGAGAAGGACACACCGCUGGUGUACCAGUUAUCGUGCCAACGGUAAACGCUGGGUAGCUAUGUGUGGAGUGGAUAACCGCUGAAAGCAUCUAAGUGGGAAGCCCACCUCAAGAUGAGUAUUC